AUGUUUUCUUUAACCAAACUGAUGGUGCUUCCCUACUGGUUCCACAGAUACAGUGUGCGGAGAUUUUGCUUGUGGAAAACUGGCAAAUGGCAGCUUUGGGAGGUGAGUCAGCCACCUCAAGCUGUAUCCUGUUUUUCUGAGAUCAACAGUUCCACAUCCACUGACUCCAACAGAACCAGAACCCAGCUCUAAGGAAGUAGGUAACAUGUUUCUUGAUAAUACACAUUUAUAACCCAAAUAACACAAGCCUUCUAGUCCAUGAUUAACUACUAUUCAAGUCUUCUCCC
rnacentral:lncRNA from 1 species